AUUGAACGCUGGCGGAAUGCUUUACACAUGCAAGUCGAACGGCAGCACGGGUGCUUGCACCUGGUGGCGAGUGGCGAACGGGUGAGUAAUACAUCGGAACGUACCCAGUUGUGGGGGAUAACUAACCGAAAGGUUAGCUAAUACCGCAUACGACCUGAGGGUGAAAGCGGGGGACCGUAAGGCCUCGCGCAAUUGGAGCGGCCGAUAUCAGAUUAGGUAGUUGGUGGGGUAAAGGCCCACCAAGCCAACGAUCUGUAGCUGGUCUGAGAGGACGACCAGCCACACUGGAACUGAGACACGGUCCAGACUCCUACGGGAGGCAGCAGUGGGGAAUUUUGGACAAUGGGCGAAAGCCUGAUCCAGCCAUUCCGCGUGCAGGAUGAAGGCCCUCGGGUUGUAAACUGCUUUUGUACAGAACGAAAAGGUUUCUACUAAUACUAGGAGCUCAUGACGGUACUGUAAGAAUAAGCACCGGCUAACUACGUGCCAGCCGCCGCCGUAA
rnacentral:rRNA from 1 species